UCCAGAGCACAAUGGUGAUGCAUUGUAAAUGGCAGGCAGACGGCAGAAGCCAAUAUAUUUCUGCAGAUCUAUGGACCAAGAGCUUUAUUAUGGUGAUUUCUCAGAGAUCUCCGCAGGUGACACAGGCAACGGGAAACUUAGCGACAAGGACUCACCUGAGGGAGUGUCCUCUGCGUUACUGAGAGUGGUGACCAGAAAGAAGACCAUAAGUGAUGAGGACAACAUUGCGGAUUCAGGGAUUCUGCUUCAACAAUAUACUGAGACCUUCUUAUCUUAUUCUGCUUUCUGUGCAUAAUACAGUCACUAUUUAUAGGCUGGUAAGAUGUUUUCUUAAUAAUUACUUUACAUUUUUAUUAUCUGAUUAAUAAAUUAAAAACAAUUCCUGGUAACUGCA